GUCUUCGUAGAGUAUGCAACUCGCUGCCGUGAAGUAGCAUCUCCUGCGAUUGUAGUGUGGCAUAGUCGGUGGUUCGAAUCCACCCGAAGACA